rnacentral:lncRNA from 1 species
GGCGGCCAUGGCUCUAGGAGAAACUAGCUCCAUGAUCUGUUGACAGGAUUAAGGACCCCUGUUGUUUUACAGGAAGUAAAUAAAUCCUUAUGGUGUUCUGGAAACCUCAGAAGUAUAUGAGAGUGAUGAGAGUUGAUCUUGGACAAAAUUUAUUUGACAAAUUUGAAGAAAACAGAGCCAAAAUCAUGGAUAUAGGCAUGAAAUUUAGGGUGGACGAGGCAGCACAAAGCCCAGCACAGCCAUGUAUCACCAAAUCCUGCAGAUCCACUCACUGAGGUAGAAGCACCUAGGAACCCCACUUGACAGCAACGAUUUCAAACCCAGGUAAGGCUUUUUGGCCAUUGAUUCUCAAUUAAAUAUGCUUUAAGGUGUUCCUUCAAAGGAGAAAAUGUGGUUUCAAAGUGAAAAGGAAGAUUUCUGUAUUGUCUUCCUUCAGCCAUCUCAUUAAAGAGAACGGUCAAUUUCUUUAGCUCUGCUAUUAUCUGUUAAUUUGUGCUAUAACUGGACUUGUGAUUCUCCCUCAGGUUUCAUAUUUUAUUGACAGAAAAAUAUUCUGCC